AGCUGCAACCGCGUUAACAAAAGAACGCCGUAAUUUAUUCCAAAAUAGUGGAUAAGAAACUAGUUUUAUUCAAAUGUGAUAAACCAAUUAGCAGCUUCGAUGACUACUUUUACGAAGUGUCGUGUUUGUAUUUGUGAUCUCGAUGCAACUGUCGGUAGCUACGAUAUGCGUAAAUUGCCCCUAUUGGCACACAAGUUUGUCACGUGCACCGAUUUGUCCGUGUCUGAGGAGCAGCGAGUCCCCAGUGAGCUGUGCCAGGCGUGCUAUAACCAGUUGGAACAGUUGUAUGCAUUCCGUGCAAAGUGCAUUGCGGCUGACACAAAAUGGCGCAUGCAAAUUUUGGCAUUUUGCGAUGAGGAGGAACCUAUUUACGACUUGGAGGCGGCACCGAGUACAGUUGCAGUCGAGGAGCUAAAAGAGAGCAAUAAAAAGCAAAAUGGAAAACUUCACGAAAAAAAUGAAAAAUGUGAAGAGCACCAAUUGGAUUCUGUAGAAGUGGAAAUUGAAAAUCAUGACAUGGAAACACCUGCACAGCCCAUGGAGGACAACGUUGAAUCCGAUGCCGUAACAAGUUCCUCGCCACGGCAUCCAAAAAGCGUCUUCAAAUGUGAUAUAUGCGCCGCGCAAUUCUUAAAUGAGAAGCGCCUGCUAGCGCAUAGUCGGCGACAUGGACAGAUGCCGUACCCCUGCCCCGAGCCAGGCUGUGAUCGCGGCUACAGCCAUAAGCAUACAUUAUCGCUGCAUAUGCGAAAGUGUCAUAAGCUUGGCAAGGAGCACAAGUCGCAUGUUUGCGAGUUCUGUGGCAAGCUCUUUGACACCAUGGCGCUGCUCAAAAACCAUCGUUUUACGCACAAGGACAAGUUGGAGCAGCCAUUUGCGUGCGAGGAGCCGGACUGUGAGCGACGUUUCGCCACUAAGCAGCUGUUAAAGAUACAUAUGAUGCGUCAUGCGGGCAUCAAGAAUUACACAUGUUCAUACUGUGGCGUACAGAAGACGACACGGACUGAACUCAAGAUUCACCUAAACUAUCAUACGCUGGAGCGCACCUAUUGCUGCCGGCUCUGCUCUAAGGUGUGCUACAGCUCCAGUAAUCUGAAUAAACAUAUGCGCACCGUACACGAGCGUGCUCGGAAUUAUGCCUGCCGCUAUUGCGAGCGCGCCUUCAUUCAGCCCGAGACACGUAACCAACAUGAGCUAAUCCACACGGGCGAGAAGCCACAUGGGUGCGUGGAAUGCGGCAGACAUUUUAGGCAGAAGGCAGCUCUGCGCGCUCACUACAAAAUUCAUACCCGCCAGCUUAAGGAGCAGAGCUCCGAAUUAGGAACUGACACACAUGAGAUUGUAGGAGAUGAGGAUGGCAAUGAUAUGCCAGAAACUGAAUAUGUUGAAUACGAUUGAAAGGUUCAUAGCAUUUCGAGUAACUUAGCGACUCUGGAUGAACUAUUUUGUCGUUCAACGGGGUGAUCUAAAUGUGUGCGUUUAUAAUUGGAGAUAACCAAUACUCAGGUGAACAACAACUGCAACCACUACCUCUGGCUACUGUGCACAUCAUUAACAUUGUAUACUUCCAACCCAAAGUGUGCUAUCGUACUCUUAAUGACUUCAUUUGACCGCAUAGAAGAAGAA
rnacentral:misc_RNA from 1 species